UAUUUGCUUAUUUUUAAUAUAGUUUGUAUUUAUUGUACGGAUAUAUUUGUGUAAUUACCGAAGGAUUUAAACAUUAAAUUGAUUAAUAGCUUUUCUAUUAUACUUUGCAGUUAUCAUAAUGACUAUUUGUUUUUUGACCUUCUACAAUUUAAUCCUGGAGUAUUGAUGUGUUUAUUUGUGUGUUACUGGAAGGUGUACACUUAAACGAGAGGUAAAAGAGCAGGUCGAUAUUCGAAGACAAUGUCACGAUCAACACGUCAAAAACCCAAGGAGUUCCGCAACACAGUCCAGAUGGUACAGCCACACCGCAACGCCACCCAGCCGUUUCAGCCCCGCAACCGGUGAAUCUGAACCCGCAACAACUUGUGGUUGUGGUGAGCCUUGUUGCAGAACACCAUUGUUCCGUGUUUGCGCAGCGAAGGAGCAUUUUGGCUGAUGAUUCGCUGCACUGUCAGACAGUGUUGAACAAAAUGCUUUUCAGUGCGUCCUACCCAUAUUUGGAUAGUUGGAUGUUCAAUUAUAAAGUCGGUAUUUCGUUACGACAAGGAAUCAGCUGAGGGUUUUCAGCUUGUAAUGCAGCGCCAUAAUGCGACCAUACUGUGUCAGAGUCAGGGUGGUAUGAAAUGGCGGCAAGUUAAACCAUUAAUCUUACAUUUGUUUCCUUUUGAAGACAAUCAAGGUAUUAUUGUUAUUCAUCGAGUAAUUAACUUAUUUUUCAUUAGAGAGAGCUAGAAAAAGCGUUAAUAAUUUCGCUGCUCAUUUGUUGUUAGAUGCGAGGGUUGAUUUUGCUUCUUAUCGAAGGAAUCCUCGAUUGUUUAUACUUGCUGAUGUUUAAUAUCCCACCCUCCACUCCCCUUAUUUUGCUUGUGUUCUCCUUUUUCUUUAUAAUUUCAGGUACAUCUUAUGUGUUCAAGUUCAGCCUACACCUUCCUUGCCUUCAGUCCUUACAGCUUUACAUGGAAUAUUGGCAGUUUUCACAUGUUGAUGUAUGGACAUGACAGUGUUUGUUUUCCAGAACUGUGAAAUGUGUAUGUGUCAUAUAUAAACGUUUAACGUAGUCACUGAUUCUGUAUGUCUGUUUUUGUAUACCUGAUCUCCGUUGAAUUCUGAUCCCAGGUUCGGCGGUUAGGUCAGCCUCCACUAGUAUAUCUUAACGUUGUGUAAUAAGAAGUUUGUUUGUUUCAAGUAUACUGUGUUAGGCCUCUGUUCACAGGGCCUCCACAUCUGCAUUUUAAACAUAUACUUUAUAUCAUAUGUAUUUGUAUAUUGACAUUUAUGUGAAGCUGUGACCAAUUUCUGCCAACCAUUAAUUUAAACGGAAUUAGACAUUAAUUGCUUGCUAUAGUAAAAUUGUUAAUA